rnacentral:rRNA from 1 species
GACGAACGCUGGCGGCGUGCCUAAUACAUGCAAGUCGAACGAGCGGCGGACGGGUGAGCAAUGUAUGGGAAACUGCCUGACGGAGGGGGAUAACUACUGGAAACGGUAGCUAAUACCGCAUACCAUCAGAUGUGCCCAGAUGGGAUUAGCUAGUAGGUGGGGUAAGGGCUCACCUAGGCGACGAUCACUAGCUGGUCUGAGAGGAUGACCAGCCACACUGGAACUGAGACACGGUCCAGACUCCUACGGGAGGCAGCAGUGGGGAAUAUUGCACAAUGGGCGCAACCCUGAUGCAGCCAUGCCGCGUGUGUGAAGAAGGCCUUCGGGUUGGAAAGCACUGUCAGCAGGGAGGCGUUACCCGCAGAAGAAGCACCGGCUAACUCCGUGCCAGCAGCCGCGGUAAUAC